UACGUAGGGUGCGAGCGUUAAUCGGAAUUACUGGGCGUAAAGUGUGCGCAGGCGGCCGAGCAAGUCGAGUGUGAAAGCCCCGAGCUUAACUUGGGAAUUGCGCUCGAAACUACUUGGCUGGAGUGUGGCAGAGGAAGGUGGAAUUCCAGGUGUAGCGGUGAAAUGCGUAGAGAUUUGGAGGAACACCGAUGGCGAAGGCAGCCUUCUGGGCCAACACUGACGCUCAUGCACGAAAGCGUGGGGAGCAAACAGG
rnacentral:rRNA from 1 species